ACUUGGCGGUUUACGCCAUUCAUUUGUUGCCAUGCAGUCACUGAAUUCGCAAUACAACCGUAUCUAUGGAUGACGCGAACGGAGCGAAUCUGUGUGGACACAGCAGUCGACGUGAGUAGCGGCAGCACCCCCUGUAAGAGAAAGCCCGUCCACGCAGUGCGUGACAUCACAACAUGGCUAUCCAUGGAGUCUAACUAGUUUUCAACAGUUUUGUGGGACAGUGCUUGUGAACAGUCGUGCGGCGCGUUUUGAAUCAGUUUACUAUUAUAGUGUAUGGUGUUCCUGCAUCUGUGUACAUGAUUUGAUUGUUUAUUUUCUGUGCACUAAACUGAUGAUCUGUUUUUCUUGCCUGUGAAUAUUUCGUUGCUUGCCAAAUGCUGUUUCGAUGCUCUGCGCCAAAUUGUAGGGGAAAUUACGACGGUCAACCAAAAGUAACUGUGUUUAAAUCCCCUGGGAAGGAGGAUGAAGCAACGAGGAAGAAACAGUUGUCAAGUUUUCGCAUCCUCCGGGAAGGAGGAUGAAGCAAUGAGGAAGAAUCAGUUGUCAAGUAUUCGCAGAGACAACUUUAGUCCUUCUUCAAGUUCAAUAAUAAGGUACUCAUCACUUGACUACCACAUGCCCUCCCACAUUGAAGUUGCUCCAACUACACUGGAUUGCCUGUGUUUCUCCAUCAAUCUAUUUGAAGAACUGAAUUUACCUUUUGGUGCCUCUAUUUGACAUUAUUUGAGUGCUACAUUUGUAUAUUUUAAAAUUUCCUUUAAUUGCAAUUUGUUCAGUGUCUGCUUAUCUGUCAGCUGCAUCUGAAAUUAAUUGUCUUACGCCCUACGCUGCCAUGUGUGUUAGUGACCACAGAGGUAGAAAUUGAGUCUGAUUUGUAAUGGAAGUUGUUGCUUCCCUGACUGAUGUAGCGUCUAGAAAAUUGCCUACAGCUGUGGUAAGUAAACACUAUGAUUACGAUCGUAGAUGUUUGAGUGCCUGCACUCAGGAUUUGUCUGUUUCUUUCUAAGUCAGUUAAGUUAAUCUGACUGAGAGUUGUGUGUGAUUAUUGCAUCAAAUUAUUAUUAUAUCGUAUUGUAAGAUUAACCAGUUAAUCAGUAAUAAUUCUUGGUAAAAUUCUGAUUGUUACACAUAAGGUUUGGUCAGGGUUUAGGGCCAUGCUCAUAUUGAGUUUUGGUCUUGAUCUGAGCAUUUUCAUAUAUUCCAUGAUUUUUAUGUAUGAUUUAUAUAUUUGCUUGGAUUCUCUCAGACUUCCGAGCUGUUCAUAGUAUUUGGAAGUGCUAUUCAGGGUGUUAUUUGUUACCCAGUGGUCCACCAGGUGUAGCCUGUCUGUGUCGGCUGUGUAUGCGCACGUGGGUGGCAUGCCAAUAUCUGUCUCACCAUAACCUCUGAACGUUAUGGCCUCCUGGUAUGCUAUGACAUCCCUUAUCAGUUGAAUUUUUAUCUCAUAGCUCCUGGGCGUUAAUUUACCCAGUUGUACCCAUUAUGUUUUUCACUUUAUUCAGACCUGGCCUGCUGCAGCUGCCUCUACCAUGGUUUCCCCGUUUGAAGUUUGAUUUUUUAACGUAAUAGUUUCAAUGUUGAUUUACUACUCAGUUGUUAAAUGGUAUUUUAUUAUUAUUCCACCCCAGUAUCUUGAAUGAGCCAAGGAGCUUUCUCUAAUUUACUUUGUCCAGGGUUAUAAGAAAUUUAUAUUUUUUAUUUAUUUAUAUUGAACCUAUUGUGUGUUGUUAAUGUGGAAAUCUGAAUUGAACAGUUUCCAUUUCUAAUGUAUUUCAGAGAAAUGCUCUGUAUUUAUGGUGGUAAGCUAGACUAAAAGAACUCAGAAGAAAUGUGUUUCCUAGGUAGUAUUCUGUGACUGAUCAAAUGUUUUCAGAACUGUGAGUUAGUACUGUCCAGUGUUGCAAACAAUUUAUUUAUAUUGAAUCUAUUGUUCUGUUUAACCAUAAACCUGAAUUGAAGAGCUCUAUUUUAACAUGUUUGAAAAUGCUAUGUAUUUAUGGUGGUAAGAUACAGUAGGAAUGUGUUUUGUUAGGCAGCUGAAUUUUAAGAUUUUUUUGUGCAAUAAAAUGUUGUUGAACUUU